GUGUCAGCCGCCGCGGUACUACGGAGGAUGCGAGCGUUAUCCGGAUUUAUUGGGUUUAAAGGGUGCGUAGGCGGUCGGAUAAGUUAGAGGUGAAAUCCCGGGGCUCAACUCCGGACUUGCCUCUGAUACUGUUCGGCUAGAGUGUAGUUGCGGUAGGCGGAAUGUAUGGUGUAGCGGUGAAAUGCUUAGAGAUCAUACAGAACACCGAUUGCGAAGGCAGCUUACCAAGCUACAUCUGACGUUGAGGCACGAAAGCGUGGGGAGCAAACAGGAUUAGAUACCCUGGUAGUCCACGCAGUAAACGAUGAUAACUCGUUGUCGGCGAUACAAUGUCGGUGACUAAGCGAAAGCGAUAAGUUAUCCACCUGGGGAGUACGUUCGCAAGAAUGAA
rnacentral:rRNA from 1 species